AUUAAAUUAUUAGAAUAUAAGAGAUAUAAAGACCUGACUGGUCCAGAGUUCAUUUAUGUGCAUUUAGUAGAGAAAUCCCCAACACCAAUAUCACAGAUUGAAGAUAAUCUGUAAAAAUAAGAAAACAGUUAAAAUCCAAAAGUUAAAACUAAUAUGAAAAUGUCUAUAUUUUUAAGUCAAGGUUUUAAGUUCCCUAAUUACCAGUGAGCUUCUCUGAAUAAUAGCCUUUUGUGUCUGUCCCCACUAAUUGACAGUUUACCUCUUUGAUGUAAUCAAUCCUGUCCAGCACCACUAUAACACCACCCUUAUCAGCUGGUUAUAAGACCAAAUCCUGAUUUAGUUGUAGUAUUUUUAAAGCUUUUUGUUGAGCUUUUGUUAAAUUAUUAGGGGUCAGAACUCAUAAUAGUUAACAC